rnacentral:lncRNA from 1 species
UGGUGAACAAUAUAUAAUCUGAAAACAGGUGUAUCCUUAUUUCUUUUCUGAUUGAUUACUUCUUUUAUGUUAGUUUUAAAUUUUUUAUUUAUUUUGUUUUGUAGGCUUGGAGAAAUUUUAUCGUGUGGCUAACAAAUAAUAAUGUGAUGCUGUUUUCAAAGAUGUGGAUAGAAAAAAAAAACUUAACACUCUACUGCAGAAAAAGGUAUCAACAACUAUGAUAAUACAAAUUGGAUGGUGAUACAAAUGAUGUGAUGCUGCUUUCAAAGACAAAUAAACUAACACCGUAAUGAUGAAAAACAACUAUAAUGAUACAAAUUGUGUAUUUGCAAAUUUGUUUUUUUUUUCUUUUUUAUUUGUUUGUUAUGGUUUGGCAAUUUCACAAAUCUGUUUUUUUUUUAUAAUAAAAGAGCAUAUUCCACUAUCUUAAGAACUUUUUCGUAAGUUAUCUGAAAUUGACUAUUUUACAUACAUGUUUAUUAUUGUUUUAUUAUAUUAACCCUAGAAUAUUAUAGAAAUGACUUAUUAGAAUAUAGAUAAAACUGAAUAGAUCAAUUAUGCUAAUUUAAAUGUAAGAAUAUAUAUUGACAAAAAAGAAAAUAGUCUAAAACUGAUAAUUUAAAUGCAAACAAAAUUGACCCGUGCUUAGCACG